AAAACUAAAAAAAAGAAAGAAAUUGAAGAAAUCACUUCAACGGAAGAACGAACUUUAAAACGAACAACUACAAUGCUUGAAACAGAUAAGACGACUUUCUCAUAACUGGGCAGAAAACAGCAAAUAAGUAAGGUUAUUGCCUUAAGUUUUCGUCGAUUUUAACGACUUUUUUUCGUAAAGGGACAAAAACAGCAAAAAAGCAAUUAAAAAGGACAAACAACAGCAAAAAGCAAUUUUUACGACAUUUUUCAUUUUCCGUAAAGAGACAAAAAGGAGAAAAGGUGGGAAAAAAACAGCAAAAAAGCAAGGCUAUAGCCUUAACUUUUCGUCCAUUUUUAGCGACUUUUUUCAUUUUUCAUAAGUGGGCAUAAAACAGCAAAAAAGUAAGGCUAUAUUUCCAUUUUUCAUAAGUGGCCAAAAAACAGCAAAAAAAGUAAGAAACAUGAAAAACAGCAAAAAAGUAAGGCUAUAUUUCCAUUUUUCACAAGUGGUCGAAAAACAACAAAAAAGUAAGGCUAUAGCCUUCGUCCAUUUUUAGCGACUUUUUUCAUUUUUCAUAAGUGGGCAAAAAACAGCAAAAAAGUAAGGCUAUAUAUAUAGCCUUAACUUUUCGUCCAUUUUUAGCGAUUUUUUUCAUUUUUCAUAAGUGGGUAAAAAACAGCAAAAAAGUAAGGCUAUAUUUCCAUUUUUCAUAAGUGGCCAAAAAAAAGAAAAAAACAGCAAAAAAGUAAGAAACAUGAAAAACGGCAAAAAAAGUAAGGCUAUAUUUCCAUUUUAAAAAACAUGGAACUGAAAAACAUUUCAAACGUGAAAAGCGGCAAAAAAGUAAGGCUAUAUUUCCAUUUUUCACAAGUGGUCGAAAAACAGCAAAAAAGUAAGGCUAUAGCCUUCGUCCAUUUUUAGCGACUUUUUUUCAUUUUUCACAAGUGGUCGAAAAACAGCAAAAAAGUAAGGCUAUAUAGCCUUCGUCCAUUCUUAGCGACUUUUUUUUAUUUUUCAUAAGUGGGUAAAAAACAGCAAAAAAAGUAAGGCUAUAUAGCCUUAACUUUUCGUCCAUUUUUGGCGACUUUUUUCAUUUUUCAUAAGUGGGCAUAACACAGCAAAAAAGUAAGGCUAUAUAGCCUUAACUUUUCGUCCAUUUUUGGCGACUUUUUUCAUUUUUCAUAAGUGGGUAAAAAACAGCAAAAAAGUAAGGCUAUAUUUCCAUUUUUCAUAAGGGACCGGUCAUUAUUUAUGGCGGGGGGUGGCACCGAAGAGAAAUGUUUUUCGUAGCAAAAAUUUUGCUGACCCAACCAUUAAAAAGUAAAAAAAAAUGAUUACCCAACUUCAAAUAUCAAUUAAAAAAUAAAUACCCACCCCUG
rnacentral:lncRNA from 1 species